rnacentral:tRNA from 1 species
CGCGGAGUAGAGCAGUCUGGAAGCUCGUCGGGCUCAUAACCCGGAGGUCGUUGGUUCAAAUCCUUCCUCCGCAA